AGUCAUAUGCUUGUCUCAAAGAUUAAGCCAUGCAUGUCUCAGUACACGCCAAAUUAAGGUGAAACCGCGAAAGGCUCAUUAAAUCAGUUAUGGUUCCUUAGAUCGUACCCACAUUUACUUGGAUAACUGUGGUAAUUCUAGAGCUAAUACAUGCAAACAGAGCUCCGACCGGAGACGGAAGGAGCGCUUUUAUUAGAUCAAAACCAAUCGGUGCGCGGGGUCGCGCGUUCGCGCGCCGGCUCUCGCAUCGUACAAAAGCUUGGUGACUCUGAAUAACUUUUUGCUGAUCGCACGGUCUCGCACCGGCGACGCAUCUUUCAAAUGUCUGCCUUAUCAACUGUCGAUGGUAGGUUCUGCGCCUACCAUGGUUGUAACGGGUAACGGGGAAUCAGGGUUCGAUUCCGGAGAGGGAGCCUGAGAAACGGCUACCACAUCCAAGGAAGGCAGCAGGCGCGCAAAUUACCCACUCCCGGCACGGGGAGGUAGUGACGAAAAAUAACGAUACGGGACUCAUCCGAGGCCCCGUAAUCGGAAUGAGUACACUCUAAACCCUUUAACGAGGAUCAAUUGGAGGGCAAGUCUGGUGCCAGCAGCCGCGGUAACUCCAGCUCCAAUAGCGUAUAUUAAAGUUGUUGCGGUUAAAAAGCUCGUAGUCGAAUCUGUGUCCCGCGCCGCCGGUUCAUCGCUCGCGGUGUCAAACUGGCGUGUCUCGCGGGACGUCCUGCCGGUGGGCUCUCCGGCACGAUCGUCGUCGCUCCGGCGGCGGCGCUCUGUCGGGGCCCAACUCGUACGUCGUUAUACGGCGAGUGCGAAUCCCAUCGCGGUGCUCUUCGCUGAGUGUCGAGGUGGGCCGGCACGUUUACUUUGAACAAAUUAGAGUGCUUAAAGCAGGCCAAAUAUCGCCUGAAUAUUGUGUGCAUGGAAUAAUGGAAUAGGACCUCGGUUCUAUUUUGUUGGUUUUCGGAACCCCGAGGUAAUGAUUAAUAGGAACGGAUGGGGGCAUUCGUAUUGCGACGUUAGAGGUGAAAUUCUUGGAUCGUCGCAAGACGGACAGAAGCGAAAGCAUUUGCCAAAAACGCUUUCAUUGAUCAAGAACGAAAGUUAGAGGUUCGAAGGCGAUCAGAUACCGCCCUAGUUCUAACCAUAAACGAUGCCAGCUAGCGAUCCGCCGACGUUCCUCCGAUGACUCGGCGGGCAGCUUCCGGGAAACCAAAGCUUUUGGGUUCCGGGGGAAGUAUGGUUGCAAAGCUGAAACUUAAAGGAAUUGACGGAAGGGCACCACCAGGAGUGGAGCCUGCGGCUUAAUUUGACUCAACACGGGAAACCUCACCAGGCCCGGACACCGGAAGGAUUGACAGAUUGAGAGCUCUUUCUUGAUUCGGUGGGUGGUGGUGCAUGGCCGUUCUUAGUUGGUGGAGCGAUUUGUCUGGUUAAUUCCGAUAACGAACGAGACUCUGGCCUGCUAACUAGGCGUAAUUUCGACAUCCCAAAGGUCCGCCGUCGCGGUCGGUUUCGGCCGUGCCGCGGUCGCGCGCGAUUUUUACUGUCGGCGUACAAUCAAUUCUUCUUAGAGGGACAGGUGGCUUCUAGUCGCACGAGAUUGAGCAAUAACAGGUCUGUGAUGCCCUUAGAUGUUCUGGGCCGCACGCGCGCUACACUGAAGGAAUCAGCGUGUCCUCCCUGGCCGAGCGGCCCGGGUAACCCGCUGAAACUCCUUCGUGCUAGGGAUUGGGGCUUGCAAUUGUUCCCCAUGAACGAGGAAUUCCCAGUAAGCGCGAGUCAUAAGCUCGCGUUGAUUACGUCCCUGCCCUUUGUACACACCGCCCGUCG
rnacentral:rRNA from 1 species